rnacentral:rRNA from 1 species
GCAUAUCAAUAAGCGGAGGAAAAGAAACCAACAGGGAUUGCCUCAGUAACGGCGAGUGAAGCGGCAAAAGCUCAAAUUUGAAAUCUGGCACCUUCGGUGUCCGAGUUGUAAUUUGAAGAAGGUAACUUUGGAGUUGGCUCUUGUCUAUGUUCCUUGGAACAGGACGUCACAGAGGGUGAGAAUCCCGUGCGAUGAGAUGCCCAAUUCUAUGUAAAGUGCUUUCGAAGAGUCGAGUUGUUUGGGAAUGCAGCUCUAAGUGGGUGGUAAAUUCCAUCUAAAGCUAAAUAUUGGCGAGAGACCGAUAGCGAACAAGUACAGUGAUGGAAAGAUGAAAAGAACUUUGAAAAGAGAGUGAAAAAGUACGUGAAAUUGUUGAAAGGGAAGGGCUUGAGAUCAGACUUGGUAUUUUGCAAGCCUUACCUUCGUGGUGGGGUCCCCUGCAGUUUACUGGGCCAGCAUCGGUUUGGAUGGUAGGAUAAUGACUUGGGAAUGUGACUUUGCUUCGGUAAAGUGUUAUAGCCCUUGUUGAUACUGCCUGUCUAGACCGAGGACUGCGUCUUUGACUAGGAUGCUGGCAUAAUGAUCUUAAGUCGCCCGUCUUGAAACACGGACCAAGGAGUCUAACGUCUAUGCAAGUGUUUGGGUGUAAAACCCGUACGCGUAAUGAAAGUGAACGUAGGUGAGAGCUCUUUUGAGUGCAUCAUCGACCGAUCCUGAUGUCUUCGGAUGGAUUUGAGUAAGAGCAUAGCUGUUGGGACCCGAAAGAUGGUGAACUAUGCCUGAAUAGGGUGAAGCCAGAGGAAACUCUGGUGGAGGCUCGUAGCGGUUCUGACGUGCAAAUCGAUCGUCGAAUUUGGGUAUAGGGGCGAAAGAC